UACGUAGGGCGCAAGCGUUGUCCGGAAUUAUUGGGCGUAAAGAGCUCGUAGGCGGCUUGUCACGUCGGGUGUGAAAGCCCGGGGCUUAACCCCGGGUCUGCAUUCGAUACGGGCAGGCUAGAGUGUGGUAGGGGAGAUCGGAAUUCCUGGUGUAGCGGUGAAAUGCGCAGAUAUCGAGAGGAACGCCAACGGCGAAAGCAAGACUCUGGACAGGUGCUGACGCUCAUGCACGAAGGCCAGGGGAGCAAACGGG
rnacentral:rRNA from 1 species